GACGAACGCUGGCGGCGUGCCUAAUACAUGCAAGUCGAGCGGACAGAAGGGAGCUUGCUCCCGGAUGUUAGCGGCGGACGGGUGAGUAACACGUGGGUAACCUGCCUGUAAGACUGGGAUAACUCCGGGAAACCGGAGCUAAUACCGGAUAGUUCCUUGAACCGCAUGGUUCAAGGAUGAAAGACGGUUUCGGCUGUCACUUACAGAUGGACCCGCGGCGCAUUAGCUAGUUGGUGAGGUAACGGCUCACCAAGGCGAUGAUGCGUAGCCGACCUGAGAGGGUGAUCGGCCACGCUGGGACUGAGACACGGCCCAGACUCCUACGGGAGGCAGCAGUAGGGAAUCUUCCGCAAUGGACGAAAGUCUGACGGAGCAACGCCGCGUGAGUGAUGAAGGUUUUCGGAUCGUAAAGCUCUGUUGUUAGGGAAGAACAAGUGCAAGAGUAACUGCUUGCACCUUGACGGUACCUAACCAGAAAGCCACGGCUAACUACGUGCCAGCCGCCGCCGUAACAC
rnacentral:rRNA from 1 species